UACGAAGGGGGCUAGCGUUGCUCGGAAUCACUGGGCGUAAAGCGCACGUAGGCGGCCUCUUAAGUCGGUGGUGAAAUCCUGGAGCUCAACUCCAGAACUGCCUUCGAUACUGAGAGUCUUGAGCCCGGGAGAGGUGAGUGGAACUGCGAGUGUAGAGGUGAAAUUCGUAGAUAUUCGCAAGAACACCAGUGGCGAAGGCGGCUCACUGGCCCGGUACUGACGCUGAGGUGCGAAAGCGUGGGGAGCAAACAGG
rnacentral:rRNA from 1 species